rnacentral:sRNA from 1 species
AAAAUGUGUCACAAUCUAAUGUAUUUGACUAAUUAUAAGAGUUAAAGAUGGAUAAGAAGAGUUUAGACAACACUUAUAUCAAGUUUCUCUCAAAAGAGGAUAAAACAACAAAAAAUUGCUUAAAAUCAGUAAAUGGCUUUGUUAGUUUUUCUAUGAUCAAAAUGUGUCACAAUCCAAUGCAUUUGACUAAUUAUAAGAGUUAGAGAUAGAUAAGGAGUGUUCAUACAACACUUACACCUAUUUUCUCCCAAAAAAGG